AACAUCGCGCACCUGCGGGAACCUGCGGAGGGAUCAUUAUUGAAUUAAUGUAGAGUUGGUUGUAGCUGGCCCUAUUAACUUGGGGCAUGUGCACACCUUCUCUUUCAUCCAUACACACCUGUGCACCUGUGAGGCAGAUUUUUUUUUUUUUGGGGGGGGACUUUAUUGAACCCCCUCUCUGCCUACUCAAUUCACAUAAACUCAAUUUAUUUUAAAAUGAAUGUAAUAGAUGUAACGCAU
rnacentral:misc_RNA from 1 species